GAAAACAGGGCAAUCAAUCUUCGUCUGGCCAAGGUUUACUUUUGAGAGAGAGAGAGAGAGAGAGAGAAUUGCAGCAAAGCAAUCGGACUAAAAAUGACGUUUAUGAGGGGAGAGCCUUUGGUGGCUAAGCUGGCCGUGCUGGCGAAAUACGGCGUUCUUCCUGGAGCCAUGAUCGCCUCCAUUCUCUAUUCUCCGCCCGAUUACGUCUAUUUUGCCAAGAAGACGCAGCAGGAAUCCUCCGCCAAAUAGAUUUUGCCUCCUUCCUUCACUCUAAUGGACUCAGACAUUGAGAAGGUUCGCGUUCUGGAGUUCUGUUGCAUUCUCCUUUGUGUUGGUUGGAAGUUGUUGUUUCUCUUUGAAUAACUUAGAGCAAAGCUAUAUGUGUAAUAUGCCUAUAGAUUUUGGCCAUGUGCUCUCUCUUAUUGACUGAAUACCCCAGUUAAGGGGAUGUUUUCAUUGUUUGAUAUGAAAUUGAUUACCCUUUGCUUUU